rnacentral:lncRNA from 1 species
GUCAUUCUUAUGCUAGUUAAUCUAAGGUUUGAUUCUUGUUUACAUUUGGUACGAUUAAGAUCAAUUAAAUUCGAGUUGUCAGUUCAUCCUUUCAUUGUCCUUAGAACUUCGUUUGAUUCACAUUUUAUGUGUCUGAUUUUUAUUUCAUGAUCCCUGGGGUGUUGGUCAGUAGCAUGAAUUUGUUCUUUUACAUUGAUUAAUUUGUUUGAUUAAUGAUAAUAGAUAUUAAAUCGAUAAUUAGGAGUUAAUUGAAUUUAGGAUUGGUGAUUGAAUUUGUUUAGCUGGUUGGUUUGACCAUAGUUUUUUGGUUAGUAGUUUCAGGAUUAAGGCAGGGUAAAUUGGGUAAACAUGUUUAGGGAAUCUAGCAAUAAGUUAAAAAAAGAACUUCCUAGAAGCUUGUUGAUGAGGGUUAUAAGGUAAAUUUCAGAAGAUAUGUGUAUUAAAUUGAGACACAAGUCAGUAAAC